rnacentral:rRNA from 2 species
UACAAUGACUCUCGGCAACGGAUAUCUCGGCUCUUGCAUCGAUGAAGAACGUAGCGAAAUGCGAUACUUGGUGUGAAUUGCAGAAUCCCGUGAACCAUCGAGUCUUUGAACGCAAGUUGCGCCCGAAGCCAUUAGGCCGAGGGCACGCCUGCCUGGGUGUCACA